rnacentral:ncRNA from 2 species
CUGGGUUUCGCCGCUGCUCCUGUUCCUCGAGCAGCCUUCAAGCAGUGGAAAUUACGGAGAAAUGAACAUUCUGAAAGCGCCUAGUAAAUGGUGGGGAAGUGAAGACACUGGAAGGUGAUAUGGCCUUUCCAAAGUGGCAUGGCUGAUUGAUGACAGACCACCAUUGGAAACAAGGUGGUUUGACUCCAGAGCCCGCACCCUCCACCACAACG